ensembl:lncRNA
GUAGCCUGCUGGGAGGUUUCUGGAAAAUGUUUUGCUUUUUGGUUAAACCAAUAUGUCUGAGGCCACCUCCUUUUCUCUUCCUCCUCCCUCCCCGUCCGCACAUGAUGCCUGAAGUCGCAGCAGCCACAAGGGAUGAGGCAGGAGAGUCAUAGAAACACCAGCCCCAAGGGCCUUAUGCUGCAGAAUUGAGCCGGCAGCUGCCCACCUGUGGACUUCUUGGUAGGUAAGAAAAACUAGAACAUGUUUGCUCAAGCUACCCUUAGUUUUGUCUCCUCCUCCCAGCAGCCUCAGAAUACUCAAGUCUUAUUCCAAGAAAAUGUCUUUCAAUCCUCAAAGCCUUUAUAACUGGUAAAACCACCGUUUAGACGAUCAUAGGAGAAAUUCUGGCCAAAAAAAAAAUUGUCUUGGAGCUCAUGGAAUCCAUCAAAGAGACCUCUGAUCAUCAGGGUGUCGCACACUCCACUUUGAGAGCUGAACAAGGCCAGAGGUGCAGCUACAGCAAGGCUGUACAUAUUCCAGAAGACAGAUAAGAAUAUAAACGACAGCAAGAUCAAAGAUUUGAUGGAACAUAUCCACUAGGAGUGAAGGCUCUGAAGAAAGCUGAUAGGCAAACUUUGGAGCCCCUGAUGAAUCUU